rnacentral:rRNA from 1 species
GCGGGGCUUUAUUGGGCACGUUUCGAAGGACGCUAAUACCGCAUACGUCCUACGGGAGAAAGUGGGGGAUCUUCGGCAAUACGCUAUCAGAUGAGCCUAGGUACGAUUAGCUAGUUGGUGCAGUGUAAAGGCUCACCAAGGCGACGAUCGUUAACUGGUCUGAGAGGAUGAUCAGUCACACUGGAACUGAGACACGGUCCAGACUCCUACGGGAGGCAGCAGUGGGGAAUAUUGGACAAUGGGCGAAAGCCUGAUCCAGCCAUGCCGCGUGUGUGAAGAAGGUCUUCGGAUUGUAAAGCACUUUAAGUUGGGAGGAAGGGCAGUAAGUUAAUACCUUGCUGUUUUGACGUUACCAACAGAAUAAGCACCGGCUAACUUCGUGCCAGCAGCCGCGGUAAUACGAAGGGUGCAAGCGUUAAUCGGAAUUACUGGGCGUAAAGCGCGUGUAGGUGGUUUGGUAAGUUGGAUGUGAAAGCCCCGGGCUCAACCUGGGAACUGCAUCCAAAACUGGCAAGCUAGAGUACGGUAGAGGGUGGUGGAAUUUCCUGUGUAGCGGUGAAAUGCGUAGAUAUAGGAAGGAACACCAGUGA